GCCUUGGUGGAUCAAUUGGCAGAUCAUCCCAGUGCAUCAUUCAGAAUAUACGGGAAGACGGAGGUUCGAAUCCUCCCCAUGGCA